AACCAGACUCCUACGGGAGGCAGCAGUGAGGAAUAUUGGUCAAUGGCCGAGAGGCUGAACCAGCCAAGUCACGUGAGGGAUGACGGCCCUACGGGUUGUAAACCUCUUUUGUCGGGGAGCAAAGAGAGUCACGUGUGACUCAUUGAGAGUACCCGAAGAAAAAGCAUCGGCUAACUCCGUGCCAGCAGCCGCGGUAAUACGGAGGAUGCGAGCGUUAUCCGGAUUUAUUGGGUUUAAAGGGUGCGCAGGCGGGGAGUUAAGGCGGGGGUAAAAUUGGGGGGCUCACCCCCGGCGAGCCGUUGAAACUGGCUUGCUAGAGUGGGCGAGAAGUAUGCGGAAUGCGUGGUGUAGCGGUGAAAUGCAUAGAUAUCACGCAGAACUCCGAUUGCGAAGGCAGCAUACCGGCGCCCAACUGACGCUCAGGCACGAAAGCGUGGGUAUCGAACAGGAUUAGAUACCCCCGUA
rnacentral:rRNA from 1 species